rnacentral:tRNA from 1 species
GCAGUCGUGGCCGAGUGGUUAAGGCGAUGGACUCGAAAUCCAUUGGGGAUUCCCCGCACAGGUUCGAAUCCUGUCGGCUGCG